CUGACUGCUAUCGGAUUGGUACUAAGCCAUGCGAGUCAUUGUAGCAAUACAAGGCGGACGGCUCAGUAACACGUAGUCAACCUAACUCGUGGACGUGGAUAACCUCGGGAAACUGAGAAUAAACCACGAUAGAUCAUAGUGCCUGGAAUGGCUUAUGGUCCAAACAGUUUACUGCCAUGGGAUGGGACUGCGGCCUAUCAGCUUGUUGGUGAGGUAAUGGCCCACCAAGGCGAUUACAGGUACGGGCUCUGAGAGGAGAAGCCCGGAGAUGGGUAUUGAGACACGGACCCAGGCCCUAUGGGGCGCAGCAGGCGAGAAACCUUAGCAAUGUGCGAAAGCACGACUGGGUCAGUCCGAGUGAUUCCUGAUAAAGGAGUCUUUUGCCUGUCCUAAAAGCACAGGUGAAUAAGGGGUGGGCAAGUCUGGUGUCAGCCGCCGCGGUAAUACCAGCACCUCGAGUGGUCAGGACGUUUAUUGGGCCUAAAGCAUCCGUAGCCGGCUCUGCAAGUCUUCGGUUAAAUCCACCUGCUCAACAGAUGGGCCGCUGGAGAUACUACAGAGCUAGGGAGUGGGAGAGGCAGACGGUAUUCAGUGGGUAGGGGUAAAAUCCUCUGAUCCAUUGAGGACCACCAGUGGCGAAGGCGGUCUGCCAGAACACGUUCGACGGUGAGGGAUGAAAGCUGGGGGAGCAAACCGGAUUAGAUACCCGGGUAGUCCCAGCUGUAAACGAUGCAAACUCGGUGAUGCAUUGGCUUAUGGCCAAUGCAGUGCCGCAGGGAAGCCGUUAAGUUUGCCGCCUGGGAAGUACGGACGCAAGUCUGAAACUUAA
rnacentral:rRNA from 1 species